rnacentral:piRNA from 1 species
UGCAAAUAGAUCUACACUGGAAGAGGCGUC